rnacentral:rRNA from 1 species
CCCAGACUCCUACGGGAGGCAGCAGUGAGGAAUAUUGGUCAAUGGGCUUACGCCUGAACCAGCCAAGUCGCGUGAGGGAAGACUGCCCUAUGGGUUGUAAACCUCUUUUGUCAGGGAGCAAUUGGCGCUACGUGUAGCGUUAUCGAGAGUACCUGAGGAAAAAGCAUCGGCUAACUCCGUGCCAGCAGCCGCGGUAAUACGGAGGAUUCAAGCGUUAUCCGGAUUUAUUGGGUUUAAAGGGUGCGUAGGCGGUCGGAUAAGUUAGAGGUGAAAUCCCGAGGCUCAACUUCGGAAUUGCCUCUGAUACUGUUCGGCUAGAGAGUAGUUGCGGUAGGCGGAAUGUAUGGUGUAGCGGUGAAAUGCUUAGAGAUCAUACAGAACACCGAUUGCGAAGGCAGCUUACUAAACUGCCACUGACAUUGAUGCUCGAAAGUGUGGGUAUCAAACAGGAUUAGAUACCCCCGUA